rnacentral:rRNA from 1 species
GAGUUUGAUCGUGGCUCAGAACGAACGCUAUCGGUAUGCUUAACACAUGCAAGUCGAACGGACUAAUUGGGGCUUGCUCCAAUUAGUUAGUGGCAGACGGGUGAGUAACACGUGGGAAUCUACCCAUCAGUACGGAAUAACUUUUAGAAUAAAAGCUAAUACCGUAUAUUCUCUACGGAAGAAAGAUUUAUCGCUGAUGGAUGAGCCCGCGUCAGAUUAGGUCGUUGGUGAGGUAACGGCUCACCAAGCCGACGAUCUGUAGCUGGUCUGAGGGGAGUGAUCAGCCACACUGGGACGUGAGACACGGCCCAGACUCCUACGGGAGGGCAGCAGUGGGGGAAUAAUUGGACAAUGGGCGAAGGCCGUGAUCCAGCAAUACCGAGUGAGUGAUGAAGGCCUUAGGUUGGUUAAAGCUCUUUUAGUCAAGGAAGAUAAUAGACGUUACUUGCAGAAAAGACCCGGCUAACUCCGUGCCAGCCGCCGCCGGUAAC